UGGUUCUGGCAUCGAUGAAGAACGCAGCGAAAUGCGAUAAGUAAUGCGAAUUGCAGAAUUCCAGUGAGUCAUCGAAUCUUUGAACGCACAUUGCGCCCUUUGGUAUUCCGAAGGGCAUGCCUGUUCGAGCGUCAUUAUCACCCCUCAAGCCCUGUGCUUGGUGCUGGACGGUUGGUCGAGGAUUUCCCCGACCCCUCCUAAAGUCAAUGACGGCGGCCCGUGGCUCCCCCGGUACACUGAGCUUCUCACCGAGCACGUACCGGACGAGGGCGCCCGGGACCCGGUCUUUCUCCUCUCGCGAGGAACUAUUUCGAAGGUUGGCCUCGGAUCAGGUAGGAAUACGCGCUGA
rnacentral:misc_RNA from 1 species